UACGUAGGGGGCAAGCGUUGUCCGGAAUCAUUGGGCGUAAAGAGCGUGUAGGCGGCCAGAUAAGUCCACUGUGAAAUCUCGAGGCUCAACUUCGAGCUGUCGGUGGAAACUGUCUGGCUAGAGUCCGGAAGAGGAGAAUGGAAUUCCUGGUGUAGCGGUGAAAUGCGCAGAUAUCAGGAAGAACACCCGUGGCGAAGGCGGUUCUCUGGGACGGUACUGACGCUGAGACGCGAAAGCGUGGGGAGCGAACAGG
rnacentral:rRNA from 1 species